rnacentral:rRNA from 1 species
UACGUAGGGUGCGAGCGUUAAUCGGAAUUACUGGGCGUAAAGCGUGCGCAGGCGGUGGCUCAAGCCAGGCGUGAAAUCCCCGGGCUUAACCUGGGAAUGGCGUUUGGGACUGGGUCGCUAGAGUGUGGCAGAGGGAGGUGGAAUUCCACGUGUAGCAGUGAAAUGCGUAGAUAUCUGGAGGAACACCGGUGGCGAAGGCGGCAUCCUGGACCGGUAUUGACGCUGAGGCGCGAAAGCUAGGGGAGCAAACGGG